UAUAAAAUAUGGGGCAAUUUAGAUACAUGCGCACACAUUUUCCCAGUGUGGGCCUUGUGUUCUAACUAUGUUUUUUUGUUUUACAUUUGAGUACUCAAGUAAAACAAAUGUAUAAUAAUACAUACAUACACACGUUUUCAAAAAGUCUAAACAUUUAUGAGCCUCAUUAGGACUAUAGUAAAGUGCUACCAAUGUUGGUGCCGAGGUCAACAGACAGUAGAUCCCAUCCAGCCCAAUGUUGGUGCCGAGGUCAACAGACAGUAGAUCCCAUCCAGCCCAAUGUUGGUGCCGAGGUCAACAGACAGUAGAUCCCAUCCAGCCCAAUGUUGGUGCUGAUGUCGACAGACAGUAGAUCCCAUCCAGCCCAAUGUUGGUGCCGAGGUCAACAGACAGUAGAUCCCAUCCAGCCCAAUGUUGGUGCCGAGGUCAACAGACAGUAGAUCCCAUCCAGCCCAAUGUUGGUGCCGAGGUCAACAGACAGUAGAUCCCAUCCAGCCCAAUGUUGGUGCCGAGGUCAACAGACAGUAGAUCCCAUCCAGCCCAAUGUUGGUGCCGAGGUCAACAGACAGUAGAUCCCAUCCAGCCCAAUGUUGGUGCCGAGGUCAACAGACAGUAGAUCCCAUCCAGCCCAAUGUUGGUGCUGAGGUCAACAGACAGUAGAUCCCAUCCAGCCCAAUGUUGGUGCUGUGGUCAACAGACAGUAGAUCCCAUCCAGCCCAAUGUUGGUGCUGAGGUCAACAGACAGUAGAUCCCAUCCAGCCCAAUGUUGGUGCUGAGGUCAACAGACAGUAG